rnacentral:rRNA from 1 species
GACGAACGCUGGCGGCGCGCUUAACACAUGCAAGUCGAACGGAAAGGCCUGCUUUCCCUUGUGGAUUGCGGGUACUCGAGUGGCGAACGGGUGAGUAACACGUGAGUGAUCUGCCCCCAACUUGGGUAUAAGCCUGGGAAACUGGGUCUAAUUUCCGAUAGGACUGCAGGGUGGUGCCUGUAGUGGCAAACGAUUUUAUAGUGGGUGGGGAUGAGCUCGCGGCCUAUCAGCUUGUUGGUGGGGUAAUGGCCUACCAAGGCGGGGACGGGUAGCCGGCCUGAGAGGGUGGACGGCCACAUUGGGACUGAGAUACGGCCCAGACUCCUACGGGAGGCAGCAGUGGGGAAUAUUGCACAAUGGGCGGAAGCCUGAUGCAGCGACGCCGCGUGGGGGAUGACGGCCUUCGGGGUGUAAACUCCUUCCGACCGCGAGGAAGCCACCUGGUUGGAAGGGUGGUGACGGUAGUGGUAGAAGAAGCACCGGCUAACUACGUGC